rnacentral:rRNA from 1 species
CACGUAGGGGGCGAGCGUUGUCCGGAUUUAUUGGGCGUAAAGAGCUCGUAGGCGGCUCAGUAAGUCAGGUGUGAAAACUCCAGGCUCAACCUGGAGACGCCACCUGAUACUGCUGUGGCUAGAGUCCGGUAGGGGAGCAUGGAAUUCCUGGUGUAGCGGUGAAAUGCGCAGAUAUCAGGAGGAACACCGAUGGCGAAGGCAGUUCUCUGGGCCGUAACUGACGCUGAGGAGCGAAAGCGUGGGGAGCGAACAGG